CUCUCUGGCAAUGGGCAAAGAGAUACCUUAUUGAUGGUAGUGUUUUUAUAUCAGUGAAGGGGGAAGAGCAGAUGCCAGUUCUUGGUUCAUCCCAGCUUGAUAACUGGCUUGGUGUCCCAAGUUCAUUUAUGCCUAUAACUUGUAA